rnacentral:rRNA from 1 species
UGCCAGCCGCCGCGGUAAUACUGGGGGAGCGAGCGUUGUUCGGAAUCACUGGGCGUAAAGCGUGCGCAGGCGGAUUGGAAAGUCAGACGUGAAAUCCCAAGGCUCAACCUUGGAACUGCGUUUGAAACUUCCUUUCUAGAGUAUGGUAGAGGUUGGAAGAAUUCCUAGUGUAGAGGUGAAAUUCGUAGAUAUUAGAAGGAACAUCAGAGGCGAAGGCGGCUUUCUGGUCCGAUACUGACGCUGAGGUACGAAAGCGUGGGGAGCAAACAGGAUUAGAUA